AAAUUGAAGAGUUUGAUCAUGGCUCAGAUUGAACGCUGGCGGCAGGCCUAACACAUGCAAGUCGAGCGGAAACGAGUUAUCUGAACCUUCGGGGAACGAUAACGGCGUCGAGCGGCGGACGGGUGAGUAAUGCCUAGGAAAUUGCCCUGAUGUGGGGGAUAACCAUUGGAAACGAUGGCUAAUACCGCAUGAUGCCUUUGGGCCAAAGAGGGGGACCUUCGGGCCUCUCGCGUCAGGAUAUGCCUAGGUGGGAUUAGCUAGUUGGUGAGGUAAGGGCUCACCAAGGCGACGAUCCCUAGCUGGUCUGAGAGGAUGAUCAGCCACACUGGAACUGAGACACGGUCCAGACUCCUACGGGAGGCAGCAGUGGGGAAUAUUGCACAAUGGGCGCAAGCCUGAUGCAGCCAUGCCGCGUGUGUGAAGAAGGCCUUCGGGUUGUAAAGCACUUUCAGUCGUGAGGAAGGUAGUGUAGUUAAUAGCUGCAUUAUUUGACGUUAGCGACAGAAGAAGCACCGGCUAACUCCGUGCCAGCAGCCGCGGUAAUACGGAGGGUGCGAGCGUUAAUCGGAAUUACUGGGCGUAAAGCGCAUGCAGGUGGUUUGUUAAGUCAGAUGUGAAAGCCCGGGGCUCAACCUCGGAAUUGCAUUUGAAACUGGCAGACUAGAGUACUGUAGAGGGGGGUAGAAUUUCAGGUGUAGCGGUGAAAUGCGUAGAGAUCUGAAGGAAUACCGGUGGCGAAGGCGGCCCCCUGGACAGAUACUGACACUCAGAUGCGAAAGCGUGGGGAGCAAACAGGAUUAGAUACCCUGGUAGUCCCACGCCGUAAACGAUGUCUACUUGGAGGUUGUGGCCUUGAGCCGUGGCUUUCGGAGCUAACGCGUUAAGUAGACCGCCUGGGGAGUACGGUCGCAAGAUUAAAACUCAAAUGAAUUGACGGGGGCCCGCACAAGCGGUGGAGCAUGUGGUUUAAUUCGAUGCAACGCGAAGAACCUUACCUACUCUUGACAUCCAGAGAACUUUCCAGAGAUGGAUUGGUGCCUUCGGGAACUCUGAGACAGGUGCUGCAUGGCUGUCGUCAGCUCGUGUUGUGAAAUGUUGGGUUAAGUCCCGCAACGAGCGCAACCCUUAUCCUUGUUUGCCAGCGAGUAAUGUCGGGAACUCCAGGGAGACUGCCGGUGAUAAACCGGAGGAAGGUGGGGACGACGUCAAGUCAUCAUGGCCCUUACGAGUAGGGCUACACACGUGCUACAAUGGCGCAUACAGAGGGCAGCCAACUUGCGAAAGUGAGCGAAUCCCAAAAAGUGCGUCGUAGUCCGGAUUGGAGUCUGCAACUCGACUCCAUGAAGUCGGAAUCGCUAGUAAUCGUGGAUCAGAAUGCCACGGUGAAUACGUUCCCGGGCCUUGUACACACCGCCCGUCACACCAUGGGAGUGGGCUGCAAAAGAAGUAGGUAGUUUAACCUUCGGGGGGACGCUUACCACUUUGUGGUUCAUGACUGGGGUGAAGUCGUAACAAGGUAGCGCUAGGGGAACCUGGCGCUGGAUCACCUCCUUA
rnacentral:rRNA from 1 species